AAUAAAUUACUAUAUUUUCUAAGCAUUCUGUUUUAACAGGUUAAAAUUAUUUUCUGCUUCUGGAUUAUAACUUUCUGUUUAUUGGAGGCUGAAGUAUUCUUCUUAAUUUUCUGGGAAACCGCUCAAAAAUUUGACGCCUAUUCAAUUUUCCACUUCUUGCACAUCUGUUUUGCUAUAUAUUCUCUGGUUUCAGUUUAUGGAAAUUUCAAAGGUCUAAAAUAUUGUCCUACCAAAGAAGUUCAAAUGGAGCUUGGAGAUGGAAAUAGUUAGUAUUAAUUUAACAAUUAUUAGCUGUCCUGUUUACAAAUACACAGUUUUAUAAAUAUUGCGCCUGGAUGUAAACUUUUGAUAAACAGUUUAGGUGCUAAUUUAAGAGUUAGUAUUAAAAAUAAAUUAUCUUGAUACAGAAGGUUUUCGAAAUUCAAAAAGAUGUUCCUUGGAUUAAAUUUGAAAACGAAUUCCUUUACUUUCAAUAAAUUUCUACUUUCCUUAAACUA